UGUCAGUCAAUAGGGCUGGACUAGGUGUCAGUCAAUAGGGCUGGACUAGGUGUCAGUCAAUAGGGCUGGACUAGGUUUCAGUCUCACAAGUUCUGGUGUCAGUCAAUAGGGCUGGACUAGGUUUCAGUCAAUAGGGCUGGACUAGGUGUCAGUCAAUAGCGCUG